rnacentral:lncRNA from 1 species
AUUGCAAGUUAGUACAACCACUCUGGAAAUCAGAUCUCAGAAAAUUGGAAAUUGUUCUACUGAGGAUGCAACUAUACCAUUCCAGAGCAUAUACCCAAAUGUCACUCCAACAUAUAGCAAGGACACAUGCUCAGCUAUGUGCAUAGCAGCCUUAUUUAUAAUAGCCAGAAGCUGGAAAGAACCCAGAUGUCCUUCAACAGAGGAAUGGGUACAAAAAUGUGGCACAUUUACAUAAUGGAGUACUACUCAGCUAUCAAAAACAAUGACUUCACGAAAUUCAAAGGCAAAUGAAUGGAACUUGAAAAUAUACUGAGUGAUGCAACACAACCAUAAAAGAACACACAUGGCAUGUACUUACUGAUAAUUAGAUAUUAGCCAAAAAAGAAGGUUGGAAUACCCACGAUUCAACUCAUAGACCUUAUGAAACCCAAGAAGAACGAAGACCACACCAAACACAAGUAUGAGAAUUUCAACAAUAUUUUAAAAAGACUGUAUAAAUAUGUAUAUACAUAUAUAUUAAUAAAAUAUAUAUUUAAAUGGAAAA